UGAGGAACAUGACUUUCGGCGGGGGAUAGCCGGCCCAACGGCCGGGUAAUACCGCGUACGACCUUUCGGGGACAUCCCCGGCUGGUGAAAGCAGCAAUGCACCGAAAGAGUGCCUCGCGGCCUAUCAGCUAGUUGGUGAGGUAACGGCUCACCAAGGCAACGACGGGUAGCUGGUCUGAGAGGAUGGCCAGCCACAUUGGGACUGAGAUACGGCCCAGACUCCUACGGGGAGGCAG
rnacentral:rRNA from 1 species